CGGGAUGUAGCUCAGUUGGUUAGAGUACACGUCUGGGGGGCGCGAGGUCGCCCGUUCGAAUCGGGUCAUCCCGACCA
rnacentral:tRNA from 1 species